rnacentral:rRNA from 1 species
CGCGUAGGAACAUGUCCAGGGGUGGGGGAUAACGCUGGGAAACUGGCGCUAAUACCGCAUGUGAGCUGAGGCUCAAAGCCGCGAGGCGCCUUUGGAGUGGCCUGCGUCCGAUUAGCUUGUUGGUGGGGUAAUGGCUUACCAAGGCGUCGAUCGGUAGCUGGUCUGAGAGGACGACCAGCCACACUGGGACUGAGACACGGCCCAGACUCCUACGGGAGGCAGCAGUGGGGAAUAUUGGACAAUGGGCGCAAGCCUGAUCCAGCAAUGCCGCGUGGGUGAAGAAGGUCUUCGGAUCGUAAA